GACGAACGCUGGCGGCGUGCCUAAUACAUGCAAGUCGAGCGGACUUUCAAGAAGCUUGCUUUUUGAAAGUUAGCGGCGGACGGGUGAGUAACACGUGGGCAACCUGCCUGUAAGACGGGGAUAACUCCGGGAAACCGGGGCUAAUACCGGAUAAUAUCUUUCUUCGCAUGAAGGAAGGUUGAAAGGCGGCGCAAGCUGCCGCUUGCAGAUGGGCCCGCGGCGAAUUAGCUAGUUGGUGAGGUAACGGCUCACCAAGGCGACGAUGCGUAGCCGACCGGAGAGGGUGAUCGGCCACACUAGGACUGAGACACGGCCCAGACUCGUACGGGAGGCAGCAGUAGGGAAUCUUCCGCAAUGGACGAAAGUCUGACGGAGCAACGCCGCGUGAGCGAAGAAGGUCUUCGGAUCGUAAAGCUCUGUUGUCAGGGAAGAACAAGUACCGUUCGAGUAGGGCGGUACCUUGACGGUACCUGACCAGAAAGCCACGGCUAACUACGUGCCAGCCGCCGCAGUAA
rnacentral:rRNA from 1 species